rnacentral:rRNA from 1 species
CUGAUGUGGGGGAUAACCAUUGGAAACGAUGGCUAAUACCGCAUGAUGCCUACGGGCCAAAGAGGGGGACCUUCGGGCCUCUCGCGUCAGGAUAUGCCUAGGUGGGAUUAGCUAGUUGGUGAGGUAAGGGCUCACCAAGGCGACGAUCCCUAGCUGGUCUGAGAGGAUGAUCAGCCACACUGGAACUGAGACACGGUCCAGACUCCUACGGGAGGCAGCAGUGGGGAAUAUUGCACAAUGGGCGCAAGCCUGAUGCAGCCAUGCCGCGUGUGUGAAGAAGGCCUUCGGGUUGUAAAGCACUUUCAGUCGUGAGGAAGGUAGUGUAGUUAAUAGCUGCAUUAUUUGACGUUAGCGACAGAAGAAGCACCGGCUAACUCCGUGCCAGCAGCCGCGGUAAUACGGAGGGUGCGAGCGUUAAUCGGAAUUACUGGGCGUAAAGCGCAUGCAGGUGGUUUGUUAAGUCAGAUGUGAAAGCCCGGGGCUCAACCUCGGAAUUGCAUUUGAAACUGGCAGACUAGAGUACUGUAGAGGGGGGUAGAAUUUCAGGUGUAGCGGUGAAAUGCGUAGAGAUCUGAAGGAAUACCGGUGGCGAAGGCGGCCCCCUGGACAGAUACUGACACUCAGAUGCGAAAGCGUGGGGAGCAAACAGGAUUAGAUACCCUGGUAGUCCACGCCGUAAACGAUGUCUACUUGGAGGUUGUGGCCUUGAGCCGUGGCUUUCGGAGCUAACGCGUUAAGUAGACCGCCUGGGGAGUACGGUCGCAAGAUUAAAACUCAAAUGAAUUGACGGGGGCCCGCACAAGCGGUGGAGCAUGUGGUUUAAUUCGAUGCAACGCGAAGAACCUUACCUACUCUUGACAUCCAGAGAACUUUCCAGAGAUGGAUUGGUGCCUUCGGGAACUCUGAGACAGGUGCUGCAUGGCUGUCGUCAGCUCGUGUUGUGAAAUGUUGGGUUAAGUCCCGCAACGAGCGCAACCCUUAUCCUUGUUUGCCAGCGAGUAAUGUCGGGAACUCCAGGGAGACUGCCGGUGAUAAACCGGAGGAAGGUGGGGACGACGUCAAGUCAUCAUGGCCCUUACGAGUAGGGCUACACACGUGCUACAAUGGCGCAUACAGAGGGCGGCCAACUUGCGAAAGUGAGCGAAUCCCAAAAAGUGCGUCGUAGUCCGGAUUGGAGUCUGCAACUCGACUCCAUGAAGUCGGAAUCGCUAGUAAUCGUGGAUCAGAAUGCCACGGUGAAUACGUUCCCGGGCCUUGUACACACCGCCCGUCACACCAUGGGAGUGGGCUGCAAAAGAAGUAGGUAGUUUAACCU